rnacentral:rRNA from 1 species
AUUGAACGCUGGCGGCAGGCCUAACACAUGCAAGUCGAGCGGAUGAGUGGAGCUUGCUCCAUGAUUCAGCGGCGGACGGGUGAGUAAUGCCUAGGAAUCUGCCUGGUAGUGGGGGACAACGUUUCGAAAGGAACGCUAAUACCGCAUACGCCCUACGGGAGAAAGUGGGGGAUCUUCGGACCUCACGCUAUCAGAUGAGCCUAGGUCGGAUUAGCUAGGUGGUGAGGUAAAGGCUCACCAAGGCGACGAUCCGUAACUGGUCUGAGAGGAUGAUCAGUCACACUGGAACUGAGACACGGUCCAGACUCCUACGGGAGGCAGCAGUGGGGAAUAUUGGACAAUGGGCGAAAGCCUGAUCCAGCCAUGCCGCGUGUGUGAAGAAGGUCUUCGGAUUGUAAAGCACUUUAAGUUGGGAGGAAGGGCAGUAAGUUAAUACCUUGCUGUUUUGACGUUACCAACAGAAUAAGCACCGGCUAACUUCGUGCCAGCCGCCGCCGUAAGAC